rnacentral:rRNA from 1 species
UACGUAGGGUGCAAGCGUUAAUCGGAAUACUGGGCGUAAAGCGUGCGCAGGCGGCUUUGCAAGACAGAUGUGAAAUCCCCGGGCUUAACCUGGGAACUGCAUUUGUGACUGCAUGGCUAGAGUGCGGCAGAGGGGGAUGGAAUUCCGCGUGUAGCGGUGAAAUGCGUAGAUAUGUGGAGGAACACCGAUGGCGAAGGCAGCCCCCUGGGCCAAUACUGACGCUCAUGCACGAA